GCUGGAGGCCAUUAUCCUUAGCAAACUAACACAAGAACAGAAAACCAAAUACCGCAUGUUCUUCCUUAUAAGUGGGAGCUACAUGAUGAGAUGAGAACAAGGUUUUCUAUUCUCCUGAGUGGAACCAUCAGACUUUUCUUGAGGGAUUGGCCCUCUAGUGAAGAGCAUGGAGUGGACUGGGCCAGGGAAAGAUCCUCAGAUAAUCCUUACACUGUUGUGAUUUCAGGAUAUCCACAGUAGAUCAACUGAUGCUUCAGUAACAGUGCCCAAAGGAACCAAGUGAAAUUACCAAAUUAGAAGUGAUAAGAGGUUGACUCUCUCCAGAAAUUUAUUGUAAUUAGAAAGAGGUAAUGGUGUCUAAAUAAGAUGAAAGAAGAUAUUUUAAAGAUGAUAAUAACAAAAACGACAUCCUAGGUUUGAGGAAACUGUGAGGACAUCUAAGUGGCAAUUUCCAAAAGGCAGCUGAAUUAAUGUGUCUGGAGAUAAGAAAAAGGUAGGGCUGGAAUUAGACAUUUAAGAAUCGUCUCAUAUAUUGGUUAAUUUAGUCCAUCAGAGUGAGUGGGAUUUCCGACUAGAAUGAGGUGAAGCCAGAAAGGAAGAGUCAUAAUCAAAGAAGAGAGUGAUCAAGAAUCCAAAAGAGACAGAGAGAGCAGGCUCUUAGAGAAAUGGGAGAACUACCGCACUGACUCUGCACGUAGGAGACAGGCAGGAGAGGAGCGCCCCAGCCAGAGCUCAACAUGCGCAAACAGGAAGUGUGUCCGAGGUUUUCUGGAGCUCACAGGAGCCGGGGACCCACAGGGAAAGAAAAGCAGACAAGACAAACUAAAUCAGCAACCAUCCCUUUGGAUGCCAGCUGACCUCGGAUGGAGAUUUAGUGCUAGAUGUAAAAGGCUUUGUUUACAGACAAUUAAAAACCACAUAAAUUUAAAUUGUCAAAGAAGAAAUGGUUUCCAAAGCUUCUAACAGCCUGGUAGCCCCUCCUCAGCCCUGUGCAGGAAAGGCCCAGAGGCAAAUACAAAGCCACCAACCCAAAUGCCUGUGGAGUUUGCCAGAAAGCCAGAUCCUGCUGCUUCUGCUGCUUGUUACUGAUGUUGAAAAAUAAAAUCUUA
rnacentral:lncRNA from 1 species